CAUUCAUACCUACCCGCCACUAGGGGUCACUCGUGUUUACGUGAUGCAUAGUAGAGUGCACACAGAGGAAGAGUGUACUACAUGUGUAGGUUGUGCUUGUUCGUAGCUGUCUGCAGCUGAGCACAUGAGCAGUUGUGCAUAAGAUUAAAAGCAAACAUCAGCUUUUCUUAAGGAAGGGGGGAAAGUCCUGCUUGUGUUUUGCUUACCACCUUGUGCAUCAUGUAUUUGGUGUCUGUCUGCAAGAUAUUUCCGGGUGGAUAUAUACAUAUCUAAUGUGGCGGAGAUUGAGCAGGGGAGAACAGAUACACGUGUGUCAGCGCCUCGUUUCAUGUUACAGCGUGUCACAGAAAUAGCAUCCAAAAGCCACUACCGUUGUUUUAUAGGGGUAUAUUUCAUACAGGGCUAUUUUUGUGUGUUUUCAUUUAUUUUCUCUGUUGAUUUGGGAUCUUUAUAAUCUUGAGAAGGAAUGUGAUUUAAGGAGAAACGUGUAUUAACCCUUUCUAAUCAGCCGAAUUUCACCCAAAGGGAGUGUUCAAUAGUUGGGCUACUGUUUUAUUUGUUUUAUUUAUUUUUCUUUAAACUGAAUAGGCCAUUGUAACAAAAUAUUCACAGUGUAUUUGGAGCUUGUGUUAAUUUGAUCUCUUUUUAUAUUUCUUGUAAACUUGGUUUAUUAUAAUAUACUACGCAGGGGGAAAUUUCACAGUCAUUUAAUGCUGUGUUUUCUCUUAACUCAGUCGGAAAUAAAGAACCCCUGUUAGAUGUAUGGCUGUGCUGGAGUCUUUGUCAUAGUGUGAAGGUUUACACGGCCACAUCUUUUGGUGUCAGAAGUGGGAUUAUUAGUUACUUACUGUGGGUUUCCUUUUGUGCAGAGGAUUUGUUUAUUAUUUUUUUUUAAUUCUUAUUACUACAAGUGGGUUAAACAACAGUAAACAACGGUAGUGGUCGAGGCUGGAUGUUUGUCACCGAGAGUCAACAGCGAGCUAUGUGCUGAGCCAG
ensembl:lncRNA